GAAGCACUAUUCUAUUUUAUAGAACGAGAUGCUGCCCAAUUCUAGAAUCACUAAUAAAAACCAAUUAGAUCUUUACAUUUGUUGAAAUUUUGUCUUUGACAACAUUACUUGUUACAUUAUUCUGGGUAUCCUUUUCCCCAUCUGUAAAAUAGACAUAGCGAUGCCUUUCCCAUAGGAUUUUUCUCAUUAAUAGAAGUAACAUAUUCAAAACACUGAGCCAGGCUCACAACAAAUAGCAACUUGUUAAUAUUACUCAAAAGCAUAUAGAUAUUGACAGAAGGCAAUACUGUUCCUAAUUAGGGGAAAAAAUUUUCUAAGAGAGUACUUAACAGUUUGAAUCUAGAUUAUAACAUUUGCUCUGAGUGUUUUACAUUACAGGUUUUAGGGAAAGUACAAAUGAGAUCUGAGAACAGUGGUACUCAUCUUUGAGGAAUUAUGGAAAAUGUAAUAGAACACUAAACAUGGGAAAACAUCUGCCUUCAGGUUGAAAAGUGGAAAUCUCAAUCCCUGAAUUUUUUUUUUUUUUUUUUAACUAAGUAACUUUUUUGCCCAUUGGUGUCAUUUAAAAAAAAAAAAAAAAAAAGAAAAAAAAAAUCAACUGAAACAAAAGAAUACACUGAAUUUGCCAAAGGCAUGCUUAAAAUGGAGACAUAAGUCUUCAAAGCUAAGGUGAUGAGAAAAGAACAAGUCUUAAAUUUCUUCAGAGCUUCAAGAGGCAAAGCUUGAAAGAAGAAAAACUUGUAUUCUUAGGUAAGAUGUAGGGGUAGAAUGGUGGCCCCUGCAAAAGGUAAGCCUUCCUCCUAAUCCUGGAAUCUGUGAAUGGUACCUUACUUGGAUAAAAAAGUCUUUGCAGAUGUAAUUAAGAACCUUGAGAUGAGGAGUUCAUCCUGGACUAUCUGGUGGGCUGUAAAGCCAAUGACAUGUAUUCAUAUAUGACAGAAGAGAAGACAUGGAGAAGAGGAGGGGGUAGUUGUGACCGUGGAGGCAGAGAAUGGAGUAAUGUGAUCAUAAAUCAAGGAAUGCUGACAGCCACUAAAGCUGGAGAAGGCCAAGAACAGAUUUUUGAUCCUCCCGCAGAAGUACAGCCUUGCUAAUGCAUUGAUUUUGGACUUCUGGCCUCAGAACUAAGAGAAUAAAUUUCUAUUGUUUUAA